rnacentral:tRNA from 1 species
GGUGCUGUGGUGUAGUCGGUUAUCAUAUCAGUCUUACACACUGAAGGUCCCAGUUCGAACCUGGACAGCACUA